UACGUAGGGGGCAAGCGUUGUCCGGAAUUAUUGGGCGUAAAGAGCGCGUAGGCGGUCCGAUAAGUCGGCUGUGAAAGUCAGGGGCUCAACCCUUGAAAGCCGGCCGAUACUGUCGGACUAGAGUCCGGAAGAGGCGAGUGGAAUUCCCCGGUGUAGCGGUGAAAUGCGCAGAUAUCGGGAGGAACACCAAUGGCGAAGGCAGCUCGCUGGGACGGUACUGACGCUGAGGCGCGAAAGCGUGGGAGCAAACAGG
rnacentral:rRNA from 1 species